rnacentral:rRNA from 1 species
AGUGAACGCUGGCGGUAUGCCUAACACAUGCAAGUCGAACGCCAGCACAGUAAGAUCUUGCUCUUACGGGUGGCGAGUGGCGGAUGGGUGAGGAAUACAUCGGAAUCUACUUUUUCGUGGGGGAUAACGUAGGGAAACUUAUACUAAUACCUCAUACCACUUACGGCUGAAAGCAGGUGUUCUUCGUACCUUUCCCGAAUGAAUGAGUCGAUGUCGGAUUUGCUAGUUGGUUGGGGAAAUGGCCCCCAAGGGCGACAUCCGUAAGUGGGCUGAGAGGGUGGUUCGGCCACAGUGGAACUAGAACACGGUCCAGACUCCUACGGGGGCAAGCAGUGGGGAAUAUUGGACAAUGGGGGAAAUCCUGCUCAACAACUCCCGCGUGGGUAAGGAAGGCCUUCGGGUUGUAAAGCCCUUUUGUUGGGAAAGAAAAGCGGCAGGGUAAAACGCUGAUGUUCUGACGGUACCUACACAAUAAGAGCCGGCUAACUUCGUG